GCCUGAGUGGCUCAGUUGGUUAAGCAUCUGACUUUGGCUCAGGUCAUGAUCUCACGGCUCGUGGGUUUGAGCUCCAUGUCAGGCU
rnacentral:tRNA from 1 species